rnacentral:rRNA from 1 species
UACGGGGGGGGGUAAGCGUUGUUCGGAAUUACUGGGCGUAAAAGGGGCUCGUAGGCGGCCAACUAAGUCAUACGUGAAAUCCCUCAGCUUAACUGGGGAACUGCGUGUGAUACUGGAUGGCUUGGAUUUGGGAGAGGGAUGCGGGAAUUCCAGGUGUAGCGGUGAAAUGCGUAGAUAUCUGGAGGAACACCGGUGGCGAAGGCGCAUCCUGGGACCA